rnacentral:rRNA from 1 species
CCUACGGGUGGCAGCAGUGGGGAAUAUUGCACAAUGGGCGCAAGCCUGAUGCAGCCAUGCCGCGUGUGUGGAGAAGGCCUUCGGGUUGUAAAGCACUUUCAGCGGGGAGGAAGGCGGUGAGGUUAAUAACCUCAUCGAUUGACGUUACCCGCAGAAGAAGCACCGGCUAACUCCGUGCCAGCAGCCGCGGUAAUACGGAGGGUGCAAGCGUUAAUCGGAAUUACUGGGCGUAAAGCGCACGCAGGCGGUCUGUCGAGUCGGAUGUGAAAUCCCCGGGCUCAACCUGGGAACUGCAUUCGAAACUGGCAGGCUAGAGUCUUGUAGAGGGGGGUAGAAUUCCAGGUGUAGCGGUGAAAUGCGCAGAGAUCUGGAGGAAUACCGGUGGCGAAGGCGGCCCCCUGGACAAAGACUGACGCUCAGGUGCGAAAGCGUGGGGAGCAAACAGGAUUAGAUACCCCUGUAGUC